UAAGGAAUAUUGGUCAAUGGACGCAAGUCUGAACCAGCCAUGCCGCGUGAAGGAUGAAGGUCCUCUGGAUUGUAAACUUCUUUUAUCUGGGACGAAAACGGGAUUUUUAUCUCAAUUGACGGUACCAGAGGAAUAAGCACCGGCUAACUCCGUGCCAGCAGCCGCGGUAAUACGGAGGGUGCAAGCGUUAUCCGGAUUCAUUGGGUUUAAAGGGUGCGUAGGCGGGCUUGUAAGUCAGUGGUGAAAUCUCUCAGCUUAACUGAGAAACUGCCAUUGAUACUGCAGGCCUAGAGUAUAGAUGACGUUGGCGGAAUAUGACAUGUAGUGGUGAAAUACUUAGAUAUGUCAUAGAACACCGAUUGCGAAGGCAGCUAACGAAACUAUAACUGACGCUGAGGCACGAAAGUGCGGGGAUCAAACA
rnacentral:rRNA from 1 species